UACGGAGGGGGCUAGCGUUGCUCGGAAUGACUGGGCGUAAAGGGCGCGUAGGCGGAUAGGACAGUCAGAUGUGAAAUUCCUGGGCUCAACCUGGGGGCUGCAUUUGAUACGUCUUGUCUAGAGUGAGGAAGAGGGUCGUGGAAUUCCCAGUGUAGAGGUGAAAUUCGUAGAUAUUGGGAAGAACACCGGUGGCGAAGGCGGCGACCUGGUCCUUGACUGACGCUGAGGCACGAAAGCGUGGGGAGCAAACAGG
rnacentral:rRNA from 1 species